CUUGUGCCCAGGUGAACGCCAAGCAAGGUCCUAAACCCAGCUCAGGCCACCGCCUCCGGGGAGGCUCGCCAGGAGAAGGUACAAGACAUCAUCCAGCCGCUUGUCCGGGGAGCUCAUCCCAACCCAGUUCCUGACCAGACGGGGCUCUGCCACUCUUUCCAGCCGGGUGACCUGGUGUAUGUUAAAAAGUUCCAAAAGAAAAAAAAAAAGGACUCACUCCUGCCUGGAAAAGACCUCAUACUGUCAUCCUCACCACACUGACGGCUCUGAAAGUGGACAGCAUUCCUGCUCAAAUUCAUAACACCCCCUAGUACCAAAGCAUGUUUAACUGUAAUCCAUGACUAACUACUCUAAUUACUGGAUUGGCGGGACCCCUUUCUCCUCCUCUUGUUUAGUCUUCAAACCUCGUAAGUUAAAACUGGUUUCUUAACUUUAUAAAGCAACACAUAGCUUCUGUCAAACUUAUAUAUCUUAAAGUCCAAUAUAACCCUCUUGUAACAAGUGGGGAAUAUGAUAUGCUACCUUGUUUUAACCUGAAUUGAGUCUCCCUUAGCUGAGAGAGCCAGACAAACUCCAUUUUGGCUCCUUCACUUGCAGCUCCUUGCCCACCCAAUUCCUCAAGGACUUAACUUGUGCAAGCUGACUCCCAGCACAUCAGAGUGCAAUUAACUGAUAAGGUCCUGUGGCAAGUUAUGUCCGCAGUUCCCAGGAAUUCGCUCGGGUGAUAGUAUCCUAAGCCCCUGCAUUUGUAUCCAGUAGAUAGCACCCAAAGCCCUUGCACCCAUCACCUUGUGAUGGAUUUAAAGCCCCUGCACCUGGAACCAUUUGUUUUCCUGUAACCAUUUGUCUAACUUUUUUUUGCCUGUUUUACUUCUAUAAGAUUGCUAUAGCUAGGCUCCCCUUCCCCUCUCUAAACCAAAGUAUAAAAGAAAAUCUAGCCCCUUCUUCAGGGCUGAGAGAAUUUUGAGCGCUAGCCGUCUCUCGAUCGCUGGCUAAUAAAGAACUCCUGAA
rnacentral:lncRNA from 1 species